rnacentral:rRNA from 1 species
CGGAGGGUGCAAGCGUUAUCCGGAUUUAUUGGGUUUAAAGGGUCCGUAGGCGGAUGUGUAAGUCAGUGGUGAAAUCUCGCAGCUUAACUGUGAAACUGCCAUUGAUACUGCAUGUCUUGAGUGUUAUCGAAGUAGCUGGAAUAAGUAGUGUAGCGGUGAAAUGCAUAGAUAUUACUUAGAACACCAAUUGCGAAGGCAGGUUACUAAGCAACAACUGACGCUGAUGGACGAAAGCGUGGGGAGCGAACAGGAUUAGAUACCCUGGUAGUCCACGCCGUAAACGAUGCUAACUCGUUUUUGGGCUUUCGGGUUCAGAGACUAAGCGAAAGUGAUAAGUUAGCCACCUGGGGAGUACGUUCGCAAGAAUG